rnacentral:rRNA from 1 species
GACGAACGCUGGCGGCGUGCUUAACACAUGCAAGUCGAACGGUAAGGCCUUUCGGGGUACUCGAGUCGCGCACGGGUGAGUAACACGUGGGAGAUCUGCCCCGCACUUCGGUAUAAGCCCGGGCAACUGGGGCUAAUACCGGCUAAGACUGCGCGGUGCAUACCGUGGGGAUGAAGGAUUUAUCGGUGCAGGCUGGGCCCGCGGCCCAUGAGCUGGUGGGUGAGGUAGUGGCCUAGCAAGGCGACGACGGGGAGCCGGCCUGAGAGGGCGACCGGCCACACUGGGACUGAGGAACGGCCCAGAGUCCAACGGGAGGCAGCAGUGGGGAAUAGUGCACGAUGGGCGCAAGCCUGAAGCAGCGACGCCGCGUGGGGGAUGACGGCCUUCGGGUUGGAAACCUCUUUCAGCGGGGACGAAGCGUGAGUGACGGUACCGGAAGAAGAAGCACCGGCCAACUACGUG